UGGUGGAGCGAUUUGUCUGGUUAUUCCGAUAACGAACGAGACUCUGGCCUAUUAAAUAGUUCGCCGAUUCCGAUCUGUCGGCGUUAACUUCUUAGAGGGACAAGUGGCUUUUAGCCACGCGAGAUUGAGCAAUAACA
rnacentral:rRNA from 1 species